GGCCUACCAUGGUGGUAACGGGUAACGGGGUGUUAGGGCACGACACCGGAGAGGGAGCCUGAGAAACGGCUACCACAUCCAAGGAUGGCAGCAGGCGCGCAAAUUACCCAAUCCCGACACGGGGAGGUAGUGACAAUAAAUAACAAUACGGGGUUCUUUAGGAUCUCGUAAUUGGAAUGAGUACAAUUUAAAUCUCUUAACGAGGAACAAUUGGAGGGCAAGUCUGGUGCCAGCAGCCGCGGUAAUUCCAGCUCCAAUAGCGUAUAUUAAAGUUGUUGCAGUUAAAAAGCUCGUAGUUGAAUUUCGGGGUUAGUAAGUUGGUCAUGCCUUUGGUAUGCACUGGCUUUACUGAUUCCUCCUUCUUGACGAACCAUGACGUCAUUAAUUUGGUGUUGCGGGAAAUCAGGACUGUUACUUUGAAAAAAUUAGAGUGUUUAAAGCAGGCUAACGCUUGAAUACAUUAGCAUGGAAUAAUGAAAUAGGACGUUAAUCCUAUUUUGUUGGUUUCUAGGAUCGACGUAAUGAUUAAUAGGGAUAGUUGGGGGCAUUAGUAUUCAAUUGUCAGAGGUGAAAUUCUUGGAUUUAUUGAAGACUAACUACUGCGAAAGCAUUUGCCAAGGAUGUUUUCAUUAAUCAAGAACGAGAGUUAGGGGAUCGAAGACGAUCAGAUACCGUCGUAGUCUUAACCAUAAACUAUGCCGACUAGGGAUCGGAUGAUGUUAAUUCUUUAAUGACUCAUUCGGCGCCUUACG
rnacentral:rRNA from 1 species